AUGCUUGUUGCAACAAAGAAACAUGUUCUUUAUGAUUUGAUCUACUUACUCAUCAAAUUGAUAUUGAUUUUACCGGUGGCGACGACGAGUGUUGAGAGAGUGUUUUCAGCAAUGAAUCUAGUGAAAAAUAAGUUGAGGACUACUAUGAGUGAUGAUUGCUUGAAUGAUUCCUUGGUACAUUUAUUGAACGGGAUGUGUCCAUGGAAGUAA
rnacentral:rRNA from 1 species